rnacentral:rRNA from 1 species
GACGAACGCUGGCGGCGCGCUUAACACAUGCAAGUCGAGCGAUGAAACUGUAACAGAACCCUUCGGGGCGGAGAUAAAGGGGAGUAGCGGCGGACGGGUUAGUAACACGUGGGUAACCGGCCUUAGACAUUGGGAUAGCCUCGGGAAACCGGGAGUAAUACCAAAUAAAAGCAUAAUGACACAUGUCAUAACGAUCAAAACGCCGGUGGUCUAGUAUGGCCUCGCGGCCCAUUAGCUAGUUGGUAGAGAAAACGCCUACCAAGGCGACGAUGGGUAGCCGGGCUGUGAGGGUGAACGGCCACUCUUGCGCUGAGCAGCGGUCCAGACUCCUACGGGAUGCACGAGUGGGUAAUCCUGCACUACGGCGGGAACUAUGAUGCCGCGCGGGUGCUUGAACGAAGAAGGCUUUAGAGUCGUAAAGUUCUCUUAUAUGGGAAGAUAAUGACGGUACCAGAAGAAAAAGCCCCGGCUAACUACGUG